rnacentral:rRNA from 1 species
CCCUUAGAUGUCCUGGGCUGCACGCGCGCUACACUGAUGUGUCCAGUAAGCACCUAACCUCUUCCGAAAGGAACGGGUAACCUUUGCAAAGCACAUCGUGAUGGGGAUAGAUUAUUGCAAUUAUUAGUCUUGAACGAGGAAUUCCUAGUAAGCACAAGUCAUCAGCUUGUGUUGAUUACGUCCCUGCCCUUUGUACACACCGCCCGUCGCUCAUACCGAUUGAAUGUUCCGGUGAGCUCUUCGGACUGCGCGGUCUGCAGUUUCUGCGUUCCGUGCGGAAAGUUGCGCAAACCUUAACAUUUAGAGGAAGGAGAAGUCGUAACA